rnacentral:misc_RNA from 1 species
AACCAUUCUCACCUGCGGCUAGACCUGCGGAGGGAUCAUUACAGAGUUGCAAAACUCCCUAAACCAUUGUGAACGUUACCUAAACCGUUGCUUCGGCGGGCGGCCCGGGUCCUUCCCGGCGCCCCUCGGCCCUCGCGGGCGCCCGCCGGAGGUAAACCAAACUAUUGCAUUGUAUGGCCUCUCUGAGUCUUCUGUACUGAAUAAGUCAAAACUUUCAACAAUGGAUCUCAGAUCGGAAGA